rnacentral:misc_RNA from 1 species
GAUGAAGAACGCAGCGAAAUGCGAUAAGUAGUGUGAAUUGCAGAAUUCAGUGAAUCAUCGAAUCUUUGAACGCACAUUGCGCCCUUUGGUAUUCCUUAGGGCAUGCCUGUUCGAGCGUCAUUUAAACCUUCAAGCUCAGCUUGGUGAUGGGCGACUGUCCCCCCCCCCUCGCGGGGGGGACUCGCCUCAAAAACAUUGGCGGCCGGUACAUUGGCUUCGAGCGCAGCAGAAACGCGGUCUCGAGCCCGGUGGAUCGGCUCCCAUAAGCCUAUUCUUUUAUUUUGACCUCGGAUCAGGUAGGGAUACCCGCUGAACUUAAGCAUAUCAAUAAGCGGAGGA